GUGUCAGCAGCCGCGGUACUACGUAGGGGGCAAGCGUUGUCCGGAAUCAUUGGGCGUAAAGAGCGUGUAGGCGGCCAGAUAAGUCCGCUGUGAAAUCUCCGAGCCUAACUCGGAAACUGCAUCGGAAACUAUCCGGCUCGAGGGUUGGAGGGGGGACUGGAAUACUUGGUGUAGCAGUGAAAUGCGUAGAUAUCAAGUGGAACACCAGUGGCGGAGGCGAGUCCCUGGACAACUCCUGACACUGAGGCACGAAAGCUAGGGGAGCAAACAGGAUUAGAUACCCUGGUAGUCCUAGCUGUAAACGGUGCACGUUUGCUGUGAGAGGUGUCGAAUCCUUUCGUGGCGAAGCUAACGCGUUAAACGUGCCGCCUGGGAAGUACGGUCGCAAGAUUAAA
rnacentral:rRNA from 1 species